GACGAACGCUGGCGGCGUGCCUAAUACAUGCAAGUAGAACGCUGAAGGAGGAGCUUUGCUUCUCUGGAUGAGUUGCGAACGGGUGAGUAACGCGUAGGUAACCUGCCUGGUAGCGGGGGAUAACUAUUGGAAACGAUAGCUAAUACCGCAUAAGAGUAGAUGUUGCAUGACAUUUGCUUAAAAGGUGCAAUUGCAUCACUACCAGAUGGACCUGCGUUGUAUUAGCUAGUUGGUGAGGUAACGGCUCACCAAGGCAACGAUACAUAGCCGACCUGAGAGGGUGAUCGGCCACACUGGGACUGAGACACGGCCCAGACUCCUACGGGAGGCAGCAGUAGGGAAUUUUCGGCAAUGGACGGAAGUCUGACCGAGCAACGCCGCGUGAGUGAAGAAGGUUUUCGGAUCGUAAAGCUCUGUUGUAAGAGAAGAACGAGUGUGAGAGUGGAAAGUUCAC
rnacentral:rRNA from 1 species